rfam:Vibrio anguillarum 775 chromosome I, complete sequence.
UAUCACUAAGGAAUGUUUUUCUCGCCAUAUUUUUCCGGCGAGAGACGGAAAGGAUUCGAACCCGCCAACACAGGCAGGUUUAGAUUGAUAACAAUUAAAGGACAAG